rnacentral:rRNA from 1 species
GACGAACGCUGGCGGCGUGCCUAAUACAUGCAAGUUGAGCGCUGAAGGUUGGUCCUUGUACCAACUGGAUGAGCAGCGAACGGGUGAGUAACGCGUGGGGAAUCUGCCUUUGAGCGGGGGACAACAUUUGGAAACGAAUGCUAAUACCGCAUAAAAACUUUAAACACAAGUUUUAAGUUUUAAAGAUGCAAUUGCAUCACUCAAAGAUGAUCCCGCGUUGUAUUAGCUAGUUGGUGAGGUAAAGGCUCACCAAGGCGAUGAUACAUAGCCGACCUGAGAGGGGGAUCGGCCACAUUGGGACUGAGACACGGCCCAAACUCCUACGGGAGGCAGCAGUAGGGAAUCUUCGGCAAUGGACGAAAGUCUGACCGAGCAACGCCGCGUGAGUGAAGAAGGUUUUCGGAUCGUAAAACUCUGUUGGUAGAGAAGAACGUUGGUGAGAGUGGAAAGCUCAUCAAGUGACGGUAACUACCCAGAAAGGGACGGCUAACUACGUG